ACUUCCUCCAAACUCGAUUGCCAUCCUCUGUCUCAUCUCCACGUAAUUGAUUGUUGCAGAAUACAAACACAUACAAUGCACAUGCUAUUCCAGAGACAACUAUUCUACCAUCCUGUCUGGCAUACACUAACGGUUCUAAGUCCAGUGAUCAUUAGCCCCAUUCUCAGGCUACACAGUGUUGCCAUAUCAAGCUUUUUUGCCCGGAAUUACAAAUACUACGUUCAGAAGUACAGAAUUACAAAUACUACAGAAAAAAACAUCAUAUACAUAAUUAUGGUCCACCCUGUACAAUAGUUUAUAAAACACUUGUUCAGCUAUUACUAUUUUUAAUAAUAAUUAAGUUUCUAAUAGUUAU
rnacentral:lncRNA from 1 species